UCCUCCCUCUUUCUUCGUGCUUAACACAUGCAAGUCGAACGGAAAAGCCCUGCUUUUGUGGGGUGCUCGAGUGGCGAACGGGUGAGUAACACGUGAGUAACCUGCCCUUGACUUUGGGAUAACUUCAGGAAACUGGGGCUAAUACCGGAUAGGAGCUCCUGCUGCAUGGUGGGGGUUGGAAAGUUUCGGCGGUUGGGGAUGGACUCGCGGCUUAUCAGCUUGUUGGUGGGGUAGUGGCUUACCAAGGCUUUGACGGGUAGCCGGCCUGAGAGGGUGACCGGCCACAUUGGGACUGAGAUACGGCCCAGACUCCUACGGGAGGCAGCAGUGGGGAAUAUUGCACAAUGGGCGGAAGCCUGAUGCAGCAACGCCGCGUGCGGGAUGACGGCCUUCGGGUUGUAAACCGCUUUCGCCUGUGACGAAGCGUGAGUGACGGUAAUGGGUAAAGAAGCACCGGCUAACUACGUG
rnacentral:rRNA from 1 species